rnacentral:RNase_P_RNA from 1 species
CAGGCAAGGGUGAAACGGCGAGGUAAGAGCUCACCGCGGCCGUGGUAACACGGACGGCAAGGCAAACCCCAUCUGGAGCAAGGCCGAAUAGGGAAGCAUUGGCGUGGCUCGCGCCGCUUCCGGGUAGGCUGCUUGAGCAGGCGGGAAACCGUCUGUCUAGAUGAAUGGCUGUCCACGACAGAACCCGGCUUAUCGACCGGCUUCCCUU